rnacentral:rRNA from 1 species
CACGGUCCAGACUCCUACGGGAGGCAGCAGUGGGGAAUAUUGCACAAUGGGCGCAAGCCUGAUGCAGCCAUGCCGCGUGUAUGAAGAAGGCCUUCGGGUUGUAAAGUACUUUCAGCGAGGAGGAAGGCAUUGUGGUUAAUAACCGCAGUGAUUGACGUUACUCGCAGAAGAAGCACCGGCUAACUCCGUGCCAGCAGCCGCGGUAAUACGGAGGGUGCAAGCGUUAAUCGGAAUUACUGGGCGUAAAGCGCACGCAGGCGGUCUGUCAAGUCGGAUG